GGGUUGUGAGGUUAAGCGACUAAGCGUACACGGUGGAUGCCCUGGCAGUCAGAGGCGAUGAAGGACGUGCUAAUCUGCGAUAAGCGCCGGUAAGGUGAUAUGAACCGUUAUAACCGGCGAUUUCCGAAUGGGGAAACCCAGUGUGAUUCGUCACACUAUCAUUAACUGAAUCCAUAGGUUAAUGAGGCGAACCGGGGGAACUGAAACAUCUAAGUACCCCGAGGAAAAGAAAUCAACCGAGAUUCCCCCAGUAGCGGCGAGCGAACGGGGAGGAGCCCAGAGCCUGAAUCAGCAUGUGUGUUAGUGGAAGCGUCUGGAAAGGCGCGCGAUACAGGGUGACAGCCCCGUACACAAAAGCGCAUGUGCUGUGAGCUCGAUGAGUAGGGCGGGACACGUGGUAUCCUGUCUGAAUAUGGGGGGACCAUCCUCCAAGGCUAAAUACUCCUGACUGACCGAUAGUGAACCAGUACCGUGAGGGAAAGGCGAAAAGAACCCCGGCGAGGGGAGUGAAAAAGAACCUGAAACCGUGUACGUACAAGCAGUGGGAGCACAGGUUUACCUGUGUGACUGCGUACCUUUUGUAUAAUGGGUCAGCGACUUAUAUUCUGUAGCAAGGUUAACCGUAUAGGGGAGCCGUAGGGAAACCGAGUCUUAACCGGGCGUUAAGUUGCAGGGUAUAGACCCGAAACCCGGUGAUCUAGCCAUGGGCAGGUUGAAGGUUGGGUAACACUAACUGGAGGACCGAACCGACUAAUGUUGAAAAAUUAGCGGAUGACCUGUGGCUGGGGGUGAAAGGCCAAUCAAACCGGGAGAUAGCUGGUUCUCCCCGAAAGCUAUUUAGGUAGCGCCUCGUGAAUUCAUCUCCGGGGGUA
rnacentral:rRNA from 1 species